AGAGUUUGAUCAUGGCUCAGAUUGAACGCUGGCGGCAGGCCUAACACAUGCAAGUCGAACGGUAACAGGAAGCAGCUUGCUGCUUUGCUGACGAGUGGCGGACGGGUGAGUAAUGUCUGGGAAACUGCCUGAUGGAGGGGGAUAACUACUGGAAACGGUAGCUAAUACCGCAUAACGUCGCAAGACCAAAGAGGGGGACCUUCGGGCCUCUUGCCAUCGGAUGUGCCCAGAUGGGAUUAGCUAGUAGGUGGGGUAACGGCUCACCUAGGCGACGAUCCCUAGCUGGUCUGAGAGGAUGACCAGCCACACUGGAACUGAGACACGGUCCAGACUCCUACGGGAGGCAGCAGUGGGGAAUAUUGCACAAUGGGCGCAAGCCUGAUGCAGCCAUGCCGCGUGUAUGAAGAAGGCCUUCGGGUUGUAAAGUACUUUCAGCGGGGAGGAAGGGAGUAAAGUUAAUACCUUUGCUCAUUGACGUUACCCGCAGAAGAAGCACCGGCUAACUCCGUGCCAGCAGCCGCGGUAAUACGGAGGGUGCAAGCGUUAAUCGGAAUUACUGGGCGUAAAGCGCACGCAGGCGGUUUGUUAAGUCAGAUGUGAAAUCCCCGGGCUCAACCUGGGAACUGCAUCUGAUACUGGCAAGCUUGAGUCUCGUAGAGGGGGGUAGAAUUCCAGGUGUAGCGGUGAAAUGCGUAGAGAUCUGGAGGAAUACCGGUGGCGAAGGCGGCCCCCUGGACGAAGACUGACGCUCAGGUGCGAAAGCGUGGGGAGCAAACAGGAUUAGAUACCCUGGUAGUCCACGCCGUAAACGAUGUCGACUUGGAGGUUGUGCCCUUGAGGCGUGGCUUCCGGAGCUAACGCGUUAAGUCGACCGCCUGGGGAGUACGGCCGCAAGGUUAAAACUCAAAUGAAUUGACGGGGGCCCCGCACAAGCGGUGGAGCAUGUGGUUUAAUUCGAUGCAACGCGAAGAACCUUACCUGGUCUUGACAUCCACGGAAGUUUUCAGAGAUGAGAAUGUGCCUUCGGGAACCGUGAGACAGGUGCUGCAUGGCUGUCGUCAGCUCGUGUUGUGAAAUGUUGGGUUAAGUCCCGCAACGAGCGCAACCCUUAUCCUUUGUUGCCAGCGGUCCGGCCGGGAACUCAAAGGAGACUGCCAGUGAUAAACUGGAGGAAGGUGGGGAUGACGUCAAGUCAUCAUGGCCCUUACGACCAGGGCUACACACGUGCUACAAUGGCGCAUACAAAGAGAAGCGACCUCGCGAGAGCAAGCGGACCUCAUAAAGUGCGUCGUAGUCCGGAUUGGAGUCUGCAACUCGACUCCAUGAAGUCGGAAUCGCUAGUAAUCGUGGAUCAGAAUGCCACGGUGAAUACGUUCCCGGGCCUUGUACACACCGCCCGUCACACCAUGGGAGUGGGUUGCAAAAGAAGUAGGUAGCUUAACCUUCGGGAGGGCGCUUACCACUUUGUGAUUCAUGACUGGGGUGAAGUCGUAACAAGGUAACCGUAGGGGAACCUGCGGUUGGAUCACCU
rnacentral:rRNA from 1 species